AGCGUAGACGGACUGGCAAGUCUGAUGUGAAAGGCGGGGGCUCAACCCCUGGACUGCAUUGGAAACUGUUAGUCUUGAGUGCCGGAGAGGUAAGCGGAAUUCCUAGUGUAGCGGUGAAAUGCGUAGAUAUUAGGAGGAACACCAGUGGCGAAGGCGGCUUACUGGACGGUAACUGACGUUGAGGCUCGAAAGCGUGGGGAGGCAAAACA
rnacentral:rRNA from 1 species